UGGAAUUUGUCGCCUUCAUGGAGGAGAACAGAACAUGAUUUACGAUCUCAAAAACAAUACUGGAUAUGUUGACCAUGGAUGAAAGGGUAAAAUCUUUCCUCUUGGAAAGAGUCCCAGCAGAGGUACAGUACUUAAAAAAAAAAAAAACUCGCGUCAGCUGUCCUGAAUAAUUUCUUGGUCUUGGCACCAGGUGGCCAAAUCCUAUCUCUCUUUAUUUGCCGAAAAGAAGAAGCGGAAUUCCCAUAUUUUACUGUUCUGCAUUUUAGUGUCCAAUGUUGUUCUCGUUGUCAGUUUGUGGUGUGUCGGCCGCUUCGAACGUCUUGUUUUCUUUUCUGUUUUCAGUGAAGUGUGAAGUUGGAGAAAACUGUGUUAAAGUUGCUGCCUUCACUAAUUAACCUUGCUUCUUUCAGCACUGAAAAUUUUUUUUUCAAGAAACCUGGUUUGAGUGAUUAUUGGACGAUAUCGAGAUAACAUUUCAGAACUGCAGACUGCAUAUAGAGAUGAAAUUGCAAUGUGAAGCAAAUGUGGACAUUGCUGGCCUCCAUGACCAGACUAGCAGGAAAAGUGCCAACACCCCCGUAAGAUAUUUUGAAGAUCUAAAUUGUGUAGCAUUAUUGAACUAAAGUCUUUCAGUUGAGGUUUGCCCCUAAAUUGGGAUUCAUUGUUUGGCGUGCCAGAUGUGUGAGAAUCUAUGCGGGACCUUGAGGCUUCAGGUGGACUGCAGAUUAUCGAUCGCACUUCACCUCCUACUAUCCACGGUAUUUCCCUAAGACACCGCUAUGACUAUGGCGGGUGUCACGCCGACGACGGCUCACAACAACAGCCCACAACAACGGCCCACAACAACGGCGAUGGCAGAGGAGGCAACAAUCACAGCAAUGACACGAUCAUGGAGAAAUCUAAGAGCCUGGACGAUGGCAUGACCGGCACCGCUAACAAUGCCAACAAAGCGUUGGCGAAGCUUGGCCAGCCAUUUGGCGAAGCUGUCAAAGACGUUUCGAAUGCCAUUACUGGACUUGUCGAGGCUGCUCUAACAAGCCACGUACCUAGUCGGCGUCUCUGAUCCGUCAAGCGUAGCCGGAGGAUCUGGUUUGGUCGAUCAAACAGCCUUUGCCAGAGCUUCACAGGUAACGAUCCUUGAAUAUUUUCCAUGACAAUCAGUGCUUCCACUUCUUGUUUCUGGGAUACGCUGUGGUGUUGCCAGAAAACCUUAUUUAAAGUUUUUUUUAGGGAAAA